ACAGUCCGAAGGCCGCGUUGCUCGUCACGCACAGGGGAGCUCGCCUCCUCUAUACUUGCGAGCGGGCUAAGGUCUGAGCGUCUAGUCCCCCUCGAUAGGUUCUAGCUGAACCGGAGGUUAACUCGUCCAGCGACGCACCAGAAACACAUCUGCAUCGGCUUUCUGCCCGGAGAUCUCUGUCUCAGAGUGAGGGUCGUCGGUUUCAGAUUUGGGAAACGUCGUGGGGACUGGGCGGCUUUUAUAAUCAUGUUGUCGCAUUGCAUCGAGUCGAUCGCGCUUCGUGUUCCUCUUCAUACACGGUUAAGGUCGAAGUCGACUUCCGUCUAGAUGGAACUGAGGUAUCAUUGGAUGGUAGAAGCAGAACAGGACUGCAUUACGUUUUGAGCGUCACGUAGGAUGUUGAAGGCAACCCCCCCGGAGCACUAUUGAAGCCCGUUGAGGCAGGCCCGGCAGAGGAAGUGAAGUAAGACCUCAGACCACGGCGAGCCAUACACGAUAUUGUACUUGACAAGAGAACUAACCGUCUCGUUGUCGUACCCCAAACGGCCUAAUCGUAAGCGUUCAUUGGUCAUAUCGUCGAGCAAGACUAAUCUUCUCUUAGGACCUACUAGCUUCUGUGUGGAUCGUUUAUUAUUGCGAUACCCUUGUGGGUGUCGUAGAGGUAUUCGGUCUUAGCAUGUGAAGAAAUCCUUUCCAACGGGCUCGAUAGCGAGCAGACGGUUGGCGGCCUCUAUGCUUGAGCGAUGUGCGCCUAGCAAGUGGUGUGCUGGGUACUUCUGUCGUGAAGCGUAUGAAGGCUUGAGCAAUGCUUGGCAUGAUUUUAUGGCCGUCCUUUAGUGCACUUCGCGGCUCGUAUGUUCUGCAUACGAAACUCGAUUCAGACUACUCUUGGACUGU
rfam:Sistotremastrum niveocremeum HHB9708 unplaced genomic scaffold SISNIscaffold_6, whole genome shotgun sequence.